GUCUGACAAUAUGGCUUCCUUGUGCUGCCGUGACUUCUCGUACUGGUUGGCAGAGGUUUAAGGGAAUACUUUGGGGUGUUCCCUGCAAAGUUGGUCUUCUAAACUGUGAAUGGCACUGAUGGAAAAAAGCUGAAAUGGUUUUUUGAGCAUGAAUUGGACUAUCUCCAUCUUUCUUAGACUGUGGCUAAGUCUCCUCAUCAGAAAGAAAUGGAGAUGAUAAUAUUUGUCUUUCUUAUCUCACAGUUAUUACAAAGAUAAAAUAAGAUAACAUAUGAAAUUGCCUUGAAAACUGUCAAAUACUACAGAGGCACACGUUCCAGUUAUCAUCAUAUUCUCAACCAUCCUGCAGUAAUGGGAUGCCAUUUUCAUG
ensembl:lncRNA